UCACUGCUUGUGAUAGCUGACCGUGAUGAGGGAGUAUGAUAGCAGGUACUCAGAAUGGACAGAGGUAUACACACUAGCCUCUUCCAGGUACAUAUUAUACUCUGAGCAUAAUCCCACUUUAUCACAAUUAUUGCUUUGCAUAGGGCCUGAUCCUUCAACUGCUUUCAGCUCGCCACUGACGCAAGCAGGAAUUCAGGAUGCCUAGCAGCCUCCAGAUUGUCUCUGGGCUGGUGUGGCAAAGUCCUACUGGAACUAGUCUACAGGGAAAGCAAAGCAAGCAGCCGGGGGAGGGGGGGAAGAGAUAAUAGGGUGAUUCUUAUAGGGGACUUGUUGUGUGCAAGGUGGGGAGGAGUACAACAGGUGAGAGACAUGUGCUGUCUAAGAAUAAAGUGACCAGCAAGAGAUUUUAAGGUGCCUUUCAGGUCUACACAUACUUUAGUCUCUGCAAGGCAGCAGAUAUGGAUUAAUAUUUUGAGUAGUUUAUCAGCCCCCCCCCUUCUGCAGUUCAUUGUGGAGGAAGGGAAGGAAUUACUAGGACUUGCAGGGAGCAUGGAAGGGGCCACAAAAGAGAGGCAGACAUGGGUCUCAUGUCAGUUGCCCUUGUGAAGCCACCUCUGUUCUGCAGCUGCUGAAGAGACCAGACUGUAGCAAGAGCUGAAUGAAUGAACUGGUAGUCUUACAGUGCUCUCUGGUCUGUAACAAUUAAAGGAAGAAAUUGUUUGAUGUUA